UACAGAGGUCUCAAGCGUUGUUCGGAUUCAUUGGGCGUAAAGGGUGCGUAGGCGGCGCGCUAAGUCAGGUGUGAAAUUUCGGAGCUCAACUCCGAAACUGCAUUUGAUACUGGCGUGCUUGAGGACUGGAGAGGAGACUGGAAUUCACGGUGUAGCAGUGAAAUGCGUAGAUAUCGUGAGGAAGACCAGUGGCGAAGGCGGGUCUCUGGACAGAUCCUGACACUGAGGCACGAAGGCCAGGGGAGCAAACGGG
rnacentral:rRNA from 1 species